UAAGCUUAACUAUGUACAGAUGUGCUGGCA
rnacentral:piRNA from 1 species